rnacentral:lncRNA from 1 species
GCAGGUGCUCCAGUUACUGAGUCACCACAACCUUCUCAAGAAUUUUAGAGAUAAAAGGAAGGUUGGAUAUCAGCCUAUAAUUUGCUAAUAUGUCAGGAUCCAGUGAUGGUUUUUUAAGCAACAGCAUAAUCACUGCCAACAUUUACCUUAAAUAAAUUCUUCACCAACUUUGAAUUAACACAGAAAAUUUGAAUUAAAAAUUCAACAGCAGUCAGUGUCUUAUGGUAGGUGGUUGCAAACUGUAAAAAAAAAAUAAAAAAAUCCUAACCCCCAAAAAUUAUAUCGAUAGAUAUAUGAGUAAAUAUUUUAAAUUAAAAUUGGAAGUGCCUGAAAUCAGAAUUACAUUUCUUAAACGGGAACUUCAGAUAAUAGUGAAUGACUGCAAAAAACUCUAGAAAUCUAAAUAUUAUAUUCCACCUUUUUUAGUUGUUCAUUUCUUGGUGACGGUACAGUCAAAAAAAAAAACAACAAGCAGUCAAACAUCAAGUUCAACAACAACAAGUCCAUCCACAACUUCUGCAACUACAUCGUCACCAACCACAUCAGCAACAACCAGUCAAAUAUCAAGUUCAACAUCAACAAGUCCAUCCACAACUUUUGCAACUACAUCGUCACCAACCACAUCAGCAACAACCAGUCAAAUAUCAAGUUCAACAUCAACAAGUCCAUCCACAACUUCUGCAACUACAUCGUCACCAACAUCAGCAACAAGCAGUCCAUCCACAACUUCUGCAACUACAUCAUCACCAACCACAUCAGUAACAACCAGUCAAACAUCAAGUUCAACAACAAGUCCAUCCACAACUUCUGCGACUACAUCGUCACCAACAACAUCAGCAACAAGCAGUCAAACAUCAAGUUCAACAGCAAGUCCAUCCACAACUUCUGCAACUACAUCAUCACCAACCACAUCAGCAACAACCAGUCAAACAUCAAGUUCAACAUCAACAAGUCCAUCCACAACUUCUGCAACUACAUCAUCACCAACCACAUCAGCCACAACCAGUCAAACAUCAAUUACAACAGCAACAAGUCCCUCCACAACUUCUGCAUCUACAUCGUCACCAACCACAUCAGCAACAACCAGUCAAAUAUCAAGUUCAACAUCAACAAGUCCAUCCACAACUUUUGCAACUACAUCGUCACCAACCACAUCAGCAACAACCAGUCAAAUAUCAAGUUCAACAUCAACAAGUCCAUCCACAACUUCUGCAACUACAUCGUCACCAACAUCAGCAACAAGCAGUCAAACAUCAAGUUCAACAACAACAAGUCCAUCCACAACUUCUGCAACUACAUCAUCACCAACCACAUCAGCAACAACCAGUCAAACAUCAAGUUCAACAACAAGUCCAUCCACAACUUCUGCGACUACAUCGUCACCAACAACAUCAGCAACAAGCAGUCAAAUAUCAAGUUCAACAUCAACAAGUCCAUCCACAACUUCUGCAACUACAUCGUCACCAACAUCAGCAACAACCAGUCCAUCCACAACUUCUGCAACUACAUCAUCACCAACCACAUCAGCAACAACCAGUCAAACAUCAAGUUCAACAUCAACAAGUCCAUCCACAACUUCUGCAACUACGUCAUCACCAACCACAUCAGCCACAACCAGUCAAACAUCAAUUACAACAGCAACAAGUCCCUCCACAACUUCUGCAUCUACAUCGUCACCAACCACAUCAGCAACAACCAGUCAAAUAUCAAGUUCAACAUCAACAAGUCCAUCCACAACUUCUGCAACUACAUCGUCACCAACAUCAGCAACAAGCAGUCAAACAUCAAGUUCAACAACAACAAGUCAAUCCACAACUUCUGCAACUACAUCAUCACCAACCACAUCAGCAACAACCAGUCAAACAUCAAGUUCAACAACAAGUCCAUCCACAACUUCUGCGACUACAUCGUCACCAACCACAUCAGCCACAACCAGUCAAACAUCAAUUACAACAGCAACAAGUCCCUCCACAACUUCUGCAUCUACAUCAUCACCAACCACAUCAGCAACAACCAGUCAAACAUCAAGUUCAACAUCAACAAGUCCAUCCACAACUUCUGCAACUACAUCGUCACCAACCACAUCAGCCACAACCAGUCAAACAACUAGUUCAACAUCCACAACUUCUGCAACUACAUCGUCACCAACCACAUCAGCCACAACCAGUCAAACAUCAAGUACAACAGCAACAAGUCCCUCCACAACUUCUGCAUCUACAUCAUCACCAACCACAUCAGCAACAACCAGUCAAACAUCAAGUUCAACAACAACAAGUCCAUCCACAUCUACUGCAACUACAUCGUCACCAACCACAUCAGCAACAACCAGUCAAACAUCAAUUUCAACAUCAACAAGUCCAUCCACAACUUCUGCAACUACAUCAUCACCAACAACAUCAGCAACAACCAGUCAAACAUCAAGUUCAACAUCAACAAGUUCAUCCACAACUUCUGCAACUACAUCGUCACCAACCAUAUCAGCAACAACCAGUCAAACAUCAAGUUCAACAUCAACAAGUCCAUCCACAACUUCUGCAACUACAUCGUCACCAACCACAUCAACAAUAACCAGUCAAACAUCAAGUUCAACAUCAACAAAUCCAUCCACAACUUCUGCAACUACAUCGUCACCAACCACAUCAGCAACAACCAGUCAAACAUCAAGUUCAACAACAAGUCCAUCCACAACUUCUGCAACUACAUCGUCACCAACCACAUCAGCAACAACCAGUCAAACAUCAAGUUCAACAACAAGUCCAUCCACAACUUCUGCAACUACAUCAUCACCAACCACAUCAGUAACAACCAGUCAAACAUCUAGUUCAACAUCCACAAGUCCAUCCACAACAUCUGCAACUACAUCAGCAACAACCACAUCAGCAACUGCAGGUGUUCAGCCAAUCUAUAUUGUUUCAGCAACUUUACCUCAAGAGACUUUUCGAGAAGAACUCACUAACCCAAACAGCACAACAUACAAAGAACUUGAAAGUCGAGUAAUAGACACGUGUACACCUAUCUACACAAGAAAAUAUGGAAAGAGAUUUGUCCGCUGCUUUGUGAAACAAUUCCGCCGUGCUGUGCGUCUACAAGUACGAGAAGAUGCAACUGCAGCUGAUAUUGGGGUUGUGCUCCGCAACAAUUCAUCUUCUGUCACCAACAUCAGCAACAAGCAGUCAAACAUCAAGUUCAACAACAACAAGUCCAUCCACAACUUCUGCAACUACAUCAUCACCAACCACAUCAGCAACAACCAGUCAAACAUCAAGUUCAACAACAAGUCCAUCCACAACUUCUGCGACUACAUCGUCACCAACCACAUCAGCCACAACCAGUCAAACAUCAAUUACAACAGCAACAAGUCCCUCCACAACUUCUGCAACUACAUCGUCACCAACCACAUCAGCAACUUCAGGUGUUGAGCCAAUCUAUAUUGUUUCAGCAACUUUACCUCAAGAGACUUUUCGAGAAGAACUCACUAACCCCAACAGCACAACAUACAAAGAACUUGAAAGUCGAGUAAUAGACACGGUAUGUUGACCUUUGUAUACAAUCCUUUCCAAUAUUGACU